ACCCUGUUUAAAAAAAAAAAAAAAAAAAUUGGGAAAUUGCCAAAAAAUUAUAAAGAUGUGGAUAGAUUUUUUGUAUUGUGAUUUAUUGUAAAUAUACUACUGAGUUUUAAAAGACUUUCUGAGAUACCUGUGAAUUCUACUAUGACCUUUUGAUUUGAUACUGUUGUUUAGCUAAUGGCUUAUGUGAACGAUCCCUUCUCUCUGCUGAACUCCUUCGCCGAAGUGCAGAGGGUUCGGUUGGUCUCCAGUUCUCUGCAAGCCCCGUGAUGUGUGGGUUCUGCAGUCAAGCUGCCUCUGUCCCUUAGCAGCACGUUUUUCAUUGCCCCUUUUGUACAAAGCUGUGAUAAAAUAAAAACUUCAGCCAAAUUAAA